CCUACGGGAGGCAGCAGUGAGGAAUAUUGGUCAAUGGGCGCGAGCCUGAACCAGCCAAGUAGCGUGAAGGAUGACUGCCCUACGGGUUGUAAACUGCUUUUAUAAAGGAGUAAAGUGAGGCACGUGUGCCUUUCUGUAUGUACUGUAUGAAUAAGGAUCGGCUAACUCCGUGCCAGCAGCCGCGGUAAUACGGAGGAUCCGAGCGUUAUCCGGAUUUAUUGGGUUUAAAGGGAGCGUAGAUGGGUUGUUAAGUCAGUGGUGAAAGUUUGGGGCUCAACCCUAAUAGUGCAAUUGAAACUGGCGGCCUUGAGUACAGUUGAGGUAGGCGGAAUUCGUGGUGUAGCGGUGAAAUGCUUAGAUAUCACGAAGAACUCCGAUUGCGAAGGCAGCCUACUAAACUGCCACUGACAUUGAUGCUCGAAAGUGUGGGUAUCAAACAGGAUUAGAUACCCUGGUAGUC
rnacentral:rRNA from 1 species